GAACCCGCAACACGCAGUCCUGUCACCGCGCUCUCCCCAGCUCUCACUGGCUCUCCCUGGCUCACUCGCUCUUCCACGCCCGCACAAGCCAGCCAGCCAGCCAGCCUCCCGCGCGUCGCAUCUUGCUCUCUCUCUCUCUGGCUUACUCACUCGCUCAAACUAUAACGAGAGAGUGAGAGAGGUCUGUGCGUGUCAGGCUGUCUCACUCGCUCUGUCUAACUGGUACUAAGACCGAGAGUGAGUGAGAGUGGGAGUGAGAGUUCCGUGCGUGUCUUGCUCUCCACCGCUCAGUUACUCGUCUCAUAACUGGUACUGGAGUGAGAGUGAGAGUGAGUGUUGGUCGUGUGCGUGUGUCUGUGUGUUCAACUUCCCGCGGUGUUGCUGACUGCCUCUCUGCGUGUCUGUCAGUCGCGGUUACCCGGUCUCCUGCAAGUCUGGCAACAACAAUAACAACGAAAAAGAUUUGAGGUGAAAAGAACGAAAAGAAAACAUUAAAAAUUUCAGAAAGUACAAAAGAGAAAAAAACACUUGCCCCUCCCCACGUGAAAGAAGGGAAAACUUACUGGAAAACGAGCUAGUAGAAUAAAAGAGGAAGAAUAUAUGAAAGAAUAUAAAAAAAGAGAAUUCAGUGAACGAGAUAGAAAACGGGAAAAUUCAGACCACGUAAGAAAGAUUAGAUAUAAAAGAAAGAAAACUAGUAAAAACAAAGAAAAAGGAGAAGGAAAAAUAUAGAUCAGAUAAAUACCAGGCAAUACACUGAGAAAAAACGAACGGGAACUUAAAAUCACGUGGCACAAAUAAGAUAGCAAAGUAAAAAAAAAUAUAUAUAUAUAAACAGUAAGAGAAAAGACUCAGACUAAUAAAAUAAAGAAAUAGUAGUUGUAAAAAAAGAAAAUACAUAGACGCGAGAAAGCACUAAUGAAUGAUAUACACAGACAAUAAAAGGAAGAAAUCAAAAUAGUAAAAGGAAAAAAAAUAAGUUGAGAAAAAAAAACGAAACACAGAACAUACAUAAACAAAAGAGAAAAAAACUGAUAUAAAAUAGAAACACCGUGUCACUCCUUUACUGUAUUCAUCAACCCUGUUCCUCCAGGUGUUAUCAAUCCUAUUUACGUGAAGGAGUUUGUCGUGGCGCCUCAGUAGCUCCUGUGAGGCUGAGGGGGUGAGGCGCGCGUCCCGUCCCUUCUCUUCCCCUUUCUCUUCUCUUCGUUGCGUGCCCCCAAAGCCGCCAAGAUUCCGUUCCUACGCCGAAAGAAGGUUAUUGAGGUGGUGAUGAGGGAGAAGAAGGGCGGCGCGUUAAGCAAAGUCCAGAAGCUUAAACGCCGCAUCUCCAACAGCUUCGGAAAACUAGGUACGUGGCUCUUCCUCGUCACGGUGGCGUUGUGAGUACAGUUGUUCACUCUUCCUUUACUCUACAAACACAAAGACAGCCAAAUAUUUUCUUACAAAAACGCUCACUCACAGACGUGCAACAGAAUGAAAUACUCCCUACCCAUAUCGUUGACUUUUUCGUUUGCAUCUUAAUUGAAAUCCAUAAAUAAUUAGGUUGUAAAAAUUCCGUUAUUCACACUUUCAAUAGAUUUAUAUAUUUUGUACUAAGGAAAGCAAACCGCCCUUGACUCACAGCAGAAAGUAAGCAAGUUUAUCACAAGAACAAGGGUACGAUGGAUCAGUUAUGCUAGGAACUUGAUUCAAAACGAUAUCCUAUACUAGAAAUAAAAAAAUGUACAAUGGAUCAGUUAGUCUAGGAACUUGAUACAAAACGAUAUCCUAUACUAGAAAUAAAAAAAUGUACAAUGGAUCAGUAAUACUAGGAACUUGAUACAAAACGAUAUCCUAUACUAGAAAUAAAAAAAUGUACAAUGGAUCAGUUAUGCUAGGAACUUGAUACAAAACGAUAUCCUAUACUAAAAAUAUAAAAAAAUGUAUAAUGGAUAAAGCGAUUUCUUGACAGAUUUCACACAAGUAGCAUUAGACCAAAGACCAAAGAGAAAUAUAACUGAUCAACGUUGCGAGCUUUAUACAAACUCUCUCUCCCUUCUAUCGUUUUAUUUUUCUACCUGUCCUUCCCUUUCUGUCCUGCCCCCCCUAUCCGUUUCUCCAUUCCCUAAUCUACCCUCUGUCUUCUUCCGCUUCUAUCCUCUUUCUCUCCCUCUCAUUCCUUCUACCCUCUCCCUUUCUCUCCACUCCCUUCCUCCUUCUCCUUCCAUCUCUCCCUUCUUUCCCUAAACCUCACCUGAUGUCCAUACUUCCCCAUGCCUCUCGUAUAGUAAUGAAAAUAUGUAUGAUGAAUAAAGCUUUUCUAAGACAGACUUCACAAAAAUAACAUCAGACCAAGCGCAAAAAGCAAUCGGAACUGAUCAGCAUUACGAACAUAUUACAAACUUCAAACUCAUCGAAAAUUAAACAUGUAUCAUGGAUCAGAUCAUAAUUUCACGGCGGAUUUCACACACAGCGGGAGACAACAACAGAAGCGCCGAUCAGAGAGUGGCCAGACAAACCGACGCCGAGAGUGUCAGGCGUAACAACAGCGUGAGGCAGAAACGUGAGAUCAAUUUCCGAACCUUUUGUGAAGUGUCUUGAUGGCGUCCCUGGAGAGGAGGAGGAGGAGGAGGAGAAAGAGGAGAGAAAAGAGACAAUAAUAGAAGAAAUACAGACGCAGAUAGAAACAAAAGAAUGAAAGAUAUUUAAAUGAUGAAGAAGAGAGUAGAAAAGAAGGAGGAGGAGGAGGAGGAGAGAAAAGGGACAAUAAUAUAAGAAAUACAGAUACAAAUAGAAACUAAAGAAUGAAAGAAAUUUGAAUGAUGAAGAAGAGAGUAGAAAAGGAGGAGGAGUAGGGCUGAUAAAAAGGGAGAUAAUAAUAAAAUAUGAUACACAUGUAGACAGAAACAAAAGAAAUAAAUGAAUAUGAAUAAUGAAAAGUGAAAAUAGAGGAGGGGGAAGUAAAAGGAAAAGGAGAAGAAGAAAAAGUAGAAUAAUAAGAACAAGAACAAGAAGAAAAAGAAAAAAGAAGGAAGAAGAAAAGGAGGGAGAAUAACAGAAGAAGAAUAUACAUGCAGAUAGAAACAAAAGAAGGAAAAAAAAUGAAUAAUGUAGAAGAAACAGUGAAAAAAGAGGAGGAGGAGGAGGAGGAGGAGGA